rnacentral:rRNA from 1 species
AGGGAAUAUUGCGCAAUGGAGGAAACUCUGACGCAGCGACGCCGCGUGAGCGAUGAAGGUUUUCGGAUCGUAAAGCUCUGUCCUUGGGGAAGAAGGUCUUCGGACUUGACGGUACCCAAGAAGAAAGCCCCGGCUAACUACGUGCCAGCAGCCGCGGUAAUACGUAGGGGGCAAGCGUUGUCCGGAAUUAUUGGGCGUAAAGGGUGCGUAGGCGGCCUUUUAAGUCAGAUGUGAAAGCCCACGGCUUAACCGUGGGAUUGCAUUUGAAACUGGAAGGCUUGAGUAUCGGAGAGGGUAGUGGAAUUCCCAGUGUAGCGGUGAAAUGCGUAGAUAUUGGGAGGAACACCAGUGGCGAAGGCGACUACCUGGACGAAAACUGACGCUGAGGCACGAAAGCUAGGGGAGCAAAC